AUUAUUUUGGCAGAGUAGUGCAAUAGAUUUAGAAUCUUUAUAUAUGUGGAUACAUAAAUAAUA
rnacentral:tRNA from 1 species